UCUUUUCAGAUCCACCAAUCGCAGCAGGCACUGGACGGGGUCGGGGUUUCCCUUGCGAUUCUGUACUCCGUCUUCCAUAGCGCUAUCGCUGUUUCACACAAGUUUUACUAGAGAAGACAAACGCCACCUAGCGGCCAAGGCCCAUAGCGGGUGUAUUGGAGGAAUGAUACAGAACUGUAGUUUACUUCUAAGUGUGAUUGCAGGGAGUGUCUGUCUUUCACUGGGGAAACUGCUUGUUACAGUGGCAGUGGCCUUGAAUCUGACUCAGCUACAAACACGUGCCAGACAGGAAGUCUGUUGUUAAUUAAAGAAGCCUGGGCAGUACUGAAGAUUUUCAUGAACACUAAACUGUGUGCAAUACAAAACUGCACUCUUUAAAGCACUGUGAACCCAGAGGGGCCUGUGUAUUUCAACACACCACAGAUGGCAGCAGCAGUACCACAAAAAAGCAAGUCAAUAUUACCUGCAUACACCCACAGAGUGUGCAACUGCAUAUGACCAGAGGCACGUUUCAUCACAAUCCACAAUCUGAUGAGCUGCUUUCAGUGUGGGUGUGUCUGGCAG